rnacentral:rRNA from 1 species
UCAAGCAACUAAGCGCAUACGGUGGAUGCCUUGGCAGUCAGAGGCGAUGAAAGACGUGGAAGCCUGCGAUAAGGCUCGGGGAGCUGGCAAACAAGCUGUGAUCCGGGCAUCUCUGAAUGGGGAAACCCACCGGUCUUCGGACCGGUACCGUACGGUGAAUACAUAGCUGUACGGGGCGAACUCGGGGAACUGAAACAUCUAAGUACCCGAAGGAAAAGAAAUCAACCGAGAUUCCCUCAGUAGCGGCGAGCGAACGGGGACCAGCCCU